UAUCAUUAUUUAUUAAAAUUUAAAAAUUAUUUAUUUGUUAAUUUUUAAAUUACGUUUUACAUAUCGUUAGUUACGUUCAUUAUGAUUUUUAAUAUUCAUCCAUUUCUCCUCCUCUUUUUCGGCGUAACUAGCUUGGAAAAUCAACCUCAAAAUAGAGCAGCCACCACACUUUUCUUCUCCAAAGAUUCAACUCUGAACACCCAUAAAAAACAGUAAAACCCUCCAAAAAUCUGCCCAUUCUCAAUAAACAAUUACAACCAACAAACACCUCCAAAAGCCUUUCUUUUUUCUUCCUUUAUCGGUGAAAAAAGAUACCGAAAACAACCCCACAACCACUUGAAAACCCCAACUGAAACAAAGAGAAACAAGCAGAAAACAGUCUCCGCAAAGCUCAAAAUCAGAUCAAAAACCUCCAUCCCCCCCGCAUCGGCUUCCCCAGUGAAGCUAACCACAACCCAGCUCAAACUAGAUCCAAAAUCCCCACAGUCUUCGAUCUCUUUUUCCGGAAAAACACCACCUUCCAGACCACAAAGAAACCCACAAAUCCUUUCUUGUUUUCCAGCAAACACCCACCAAACAACAUCAAUCCCUUUCCCUCAUCUCUUUCACAAUUUUUCAUUUAUUUUUGCAGGUAUUCGGUCGUCCAGAGUGACUCUGAAAGCUCCAGUAGGCAGCAGCUCCACCACCGGCGAGUCAACAACUCGUGAAAACAACGACUCAGCUUUUUCCUACAACUUCCUUUCUCUUUUCAGGAAUAUCGUCCCCGAAAUCGGUCAGGGAUGGUCAUAACAAUGUCUGGAUCUCGUGAUUAUUGGGAAGAGACAAAGGUCCAAUAAAACAUCAAAAAAGAGUACAACAAUUCAUUACUGUAGAAAUUCAUAGGUUACAUUCAACAUACAGUAUAAAUAUUGACGGUUAAGAGGCUAUAAAACAUAUUUGUGCACACAAAAAACGGAUGUCUAAAUCUUUAAAUUCUUAUAUGCCUUAUCUGAACAAACUAUGCGAACCUGAUUCUCAUUUCGGUGAGAUACAUAGGCAACCCUUCUUCGGUUCGGUAUUAUUUUUUCAAGAGUAUAUAAAAAAAAGUAAAAAUAAAAUAGUUUGUUAAUAUUUUCAAAGUUAUAUCUACAUGAACCAUGCGCACCUGAUUCUCAUUUGAAUGAGAUAUGUAGGCAGCCUUUCUCGGGUUUGGUAAUCAUUCUUUCCAAAAAAAAAAAAAAAAAUUACUUGUACAUACUAUAAGAGUCAUGUCUUCAGCUCGGUCGGGACUGAUGUAGUUAAGAGCAUGUAAAUAUAUUUUAUAAGAUGGAAAACACUGACUUUGCGUAAACUAUAGAUUCUCCUGGUACCUCUUAUAUGUACUUUUGUAAUGCUUGAAAAUUCUCUUGCAUGCAAUCAAGAUAAGAAUAAAACUGACUUUGCGUAAACUAUAGAUUCUCCUGGUACCUCUAAUAUGUACUUUUGUGAUGCUAGAAAAUUCUCUUGCAUGCAAUCAAGAUAAGAAUAAAACUAACCUUGUGUUUCAUGUGCAUUGUGUGGUGAGAUUUUGAUCAAAUUUGAGUUAUGUUACACUGUUGAUCUAGAACUUGCCUUGAAUGUUUUUCGAGGCAAAAUCCUGAGCAAUGUUUUGUUUGAGAAAGGAUUGUGGGCCCUUUUUGCCCCGAUUGUCCCUUUCAAAGCCUACCAAAUUACAUUAAUCCCUAGUUUUUUCAUUUUGAGCCUGAAACCUUUCUUUGGACAACCAUAUCUUAACCACUACCCUUUUGAGUGCUUACAAGUACUAUCCUCUCUUGGCCCAACCUUCCUGAGUGCACCAAGAUGUGCAAGUUACAAGAGGUGAUCCAUGUAUGAAAUUUCAAUAAUCAAAUAUAUUGAGUCUCUCAAAAUCAACAAAGCAAAGACUCUAGAGAAAAAGAGAGACAGGAAGAAAAAAAAGGGUGGAAGAAAUAAAGAAUGGUAAAAAAAAAUACCCUUACAGGGUCAAUGAAAGGUGGGAAGGAAUAUACUCCAAAAAAAAAAGGAAAAAUUAUUAUAAUAAAGAAGUGAAUAAAAAAAAAGCUCCAAGAAAUAAGGACUCAGAAAAAAAGAAGAGAAAAACUCCAAAAAAUGAGAACUCAAAAAAAGUCGAAUCAAAGAGGAUGAAAAAAGAAGAGAAAGAAGGAAAAAACUCCAAAAACUGAGAAUUCAAUAGAAGAUGAAAGGUGGGAGAACAAUGAAGAGGAUCUGACGUCAAAGGCGUACCAAUUAUUAAGAGCACAAAUUCAAUGUAACACUCAAGGAAGAAUUAAUACACUUUUAUCCCAAAUAAAUAUCCUACCCAGCCACGAACCUAUGUUACAAGCCAAUUACAAGCCCUACAUGAUCUCAUUCCAAAUGUUCUCACAUUAGUGGAGAUUUACAUAAUGGUCAAGCAUAUGGUAUCACAGUGGUAUGCGUUGAAUAUUUUUCUGUGUGUGAGUGCACUUUGAAAAAUAUCCUAAAAUCAGAAGUUUCAAAUAUUUGUGAAAUAGGAACAAUCUUUUCCGUGAGGGCACUUGAAACAUCAGGAUUGAUACAAUUCAAAAGCUGUGUUUGAAGUAAGAUGAACAAAUCUCGUUGAUCCGUAAGUAUGUUUGAGGUGCCACUUGAAUCUGUAGGAAUUACCUUGAAUUCAAUCUUAAUUAGAAAAAAAA